rnacentral:rRNA from 1 species
AACGCUAGCGGCAGGCUUAACACAUGCAAGUCGAGGGGUAACGGGGAAGCUUGCUUCCGCCGACGACCGGCGCACGGGUGCGUAACGCGUAUACAAUCUACCUUGUACUGGGGUAUAGCCUUUAGAAAUGAAGAUUAAUCCCCCAUAGUCUCUUAGAGUGGCAUCACUUCUAGAGUAAAGGUUACGGUAUAAGAUGAGUAUGCGUUCUAUUAGUUUGUUGGUGUGGUAACGGCACACCAAGACUACGAUAGAUAGGGGCCCUGAGAGGGGGAUCCCCCACACUGGUACUGAGACACGGACCAGACUCCUACGGGAGGCAGCAGUGAGGAAUAUUGGACAAUGGAGGCAACUCUGAUCCAGCCAUGCCGCGUGCAGGAAGACUGCCCUAUGGGUUGUAAACUGCUUUUAUACAGGAAGAAACACCUCUACGUGUAGAGGCUUGACGGUACUGUAAGAAUAAGGAUCGGCUAACUCCGUGCCAGCAGCCGCGGUAAUACGGAGGAUCCAAGCGUUAUCCGGAAUCAUUGGGUUUAAAGGGUCCGUAGGUGGAUAAUUAAGUCAGAGGUGAAAUCUUGCAGCUCAACUGUAAAAUUGCCUUUGAAACUGGUUAUCUUGAGUUAUUAUGAAGUAGUUAGAAUAUGUAGUGUAGCGGUGAAAUGCAUAGAUAUUACAUAGAAUACCAAUUGCGAAGGCAGAUUACUAAUAAUCAACUGACACUGAUGGACGAAAGCGUGGGUAGCGAACAGGAUUAGAUACCCUGGUAGUCCACGCCGUAAACGAUGGUUACUAGCUGUUUGGACUUCGGUCUGAGUGGCUAAGCGAAAGUGAUAAGUA